ACUUUCCUACUGUCUCAACCACAGACCCGGCGAAAUUGAAGUACGAGUAAAGAUGCUCGUUAGCUGCAUCAGGACGGAAAGACCCCGUGGACCUUUACUACAGCUUGCUGUUGAGUUUUAGUUCAUAUUGUGUAGGAUAGGUGGGAGACUUUGAAGCAUUGGCGCCAGCCAGUGUGGAGUCAACCUUGAAAUACCACCCUUUAUGUGCCGGAACCCUAACCUCGGUCCGUUAUCCGGAUCAGGGACAGCGUCAGGUGGGUAGUUUGACUGGGGCGGUCGCCUCCNNUCAGCCGUCGAGUGCAAUGGCACAAGGGAGCUUGACUGCGAGACCUACAAGUCGAGCAGGUGCGAAAGCAGGGCAUAGUGAUCCAGCGGUUGCUUGUGGAAGCGCCGUUGCUCAACGGAUAAAAGGUACCCCGGGGAUAACAGGCUCAUCUUCCCCAAGAGUCCAUAUCGACGGGAAGGUUUGGCACCUCGAUGUCGGCUCGUCGCAUCCUGGGGCUGAAGCCGGUCCCAAGGGUUGGGCUGUUCGCCCAUUAAAGCGGUACGCGAGCUGGGUUUAGAACGUCGUGAGACAGUUCGGUCCCUAUCCGAUGCAGCCGUAGGAGAUUUGAGGAAGGCUAUCCCUAGUACGAGAGGACCGGGAUGGACGAAGCUCUCGUGUGUCAGUUGUCCUGCCAAGGGCACCGCUGAUUAGCGACCUUCGGGUGGGAUAAGCGCUGAAAGCAUCUAAGCGCGAAGCUCGUUCCAAGAUGAAAUCUCCCACAGGGUUAACCUGGUAAGGCCCGUGGCCAGACGACCACGUUGAUAGGCCGGAAGUGUACGUGCGGUAACGCAUUCAGCUGACCGGUACUAAUCGGCCGAGGGCUUGGAAAC
rnacentral:rRNA from 1 species